rnacentral:rRNA from 1 species
ACACAUGCAAGUCGAGCGGGGACCAAGGAAGAGCUUGCUCAGAACUGGUUCCAGCGGCGGACGGGUGAGUAACGCGUGAGCAACCUGCCUUCAGCAGGGGGAUAACGCAUCGAAAGAUGUGCUAAUACCGCAUGAGACCACACCUUCACAUGGAGGAGGGGUCAAAGGAGCAAUCCGGCUGAAGAUGGGCUCGCGUCCGAUUAGCUAGUUGGUGAGACAACAGCCCACCAAGGCGACGAUCGGUAGCCGACCUGAGAGGGUGAUCGGCCACAUUGGAACUGAGAUACGGUCCAGACUCCUACGGGAGGCAGCAGUGGGGAAUAUUGGGCAAUGGGCGAAAGCCUGACCCAGCAACGCCGCGUGAGGGAAGAAGGGUUUCGGCUCGUAAACCUCUGUCCUAUGGGACGAAGGAAGUGACGGUACCAUAGGAGGAAGCCCCGGCUAACUACGUGCCAGCAGCCGCGGUAAUACGUAGGGGGCGAGCGUNGCCCGGAAUGAUUGGGCGUAAAGGGCGCGUAGGCGGCCUGAUAAGUCUGGAGUGAAAGUCCUGCUUUCAAGGUGGGAAUUGCUUUGGAUACUGUCGGGCUGGAGUACAGGAGAGGAAAGCGGAAUUUACAGUGUAGCGGUGAAAUGCG